rnacentral:rRNA from 1 species
CUCCCAUUAGCUCGUUGGUGGGGUAACGGCCCACCAAGGCAACGAUGGGUAGCCGGCCUGAGAGGGUGUCCGGCCACACUGGGACUGAGAUACGGCCCAGACUCCUACGGGAGGCAGCAGUCGAGAAGCUUCGGCAAUGGGCGAAAGCCUGACCGAGCGACGCCGCGUGAGGGAUGAAGGCCCUACGGGUUGUAAACCUCUGUCAGGAGGGGAUAAAGCGUAUCGGCCAAUACCCGAUGCGUCUGAAGGUACCUCCAAAGGAAGCUCCGGCUAACUCCGUGCCAGCAGCCGCGGUAAUACGGAGGGAGCAAACGUUGUUCGGAUUUACUGGGUGUAAAGGGUGCGUAGGCGGCUACGUGUGUCAGAGGUGAAAGCUCACGGCUCAACCGUGGAACUGCCUUUGAAACUGCGUAGCUUGAGUCCGAGAGAGGAUGGUGGAAUUCCUGGUGUAACGGUGAAAUGUGCAGAUAUCAGGAAGAACACCGGUGGCGAAGGCGGCCAUCUGGCUCGGUACUGACGCUGAGGCACGAAAGCUAGGGUAUCGAACGGGAUUAGAUACCCCGGUAGUCCUAGCCGUAAACGAUGUCCACUAGUUGUCGGAGGUCCUACCCCUUCGGUGCCGGAGCUAACGCAUUAAGUGGACCACCUGGGGAGUACGCUCGCAAGGGUGAAACUCAAAGGAAUUGACGGGGGCCCGCACAAGCGGUGGAGCAUGUGGUUUAAUUCGAUGCAACGCGAAGAACCUUACCUGGGCUUGACAUGCAGGGGACAGGUGUAGAGAUACACCCUUCUUCGGACUCCUGUACAGGUGCUGCAUGGCUGUCGUCAGCUCGUGUCGUGAAAUGUUGGGUUAAGUCCCGCAACGAGCGCAACCAUUGUCCUUAGUUGCCAACACGUCAUGGUGGGAACUCUAGGGAGACUGCCGGUGACAAACCGGAGGAAGGUGGGGACGACGUCAAGUCAUCAUGGCCCUUACGUCCAGGGCUACACACGUGCUACAAUGGCACAUACAGAGGGCAGCGAACCCGCGAGGGGAAGCCAAUCCCAAAAAGUGUGCCUCAGUUCGGAUCGCAGUCUGCAACUCGACUGCGUGAAGUCGGAAUCGCUAGUAAUCGCGGAUCAGCAC